rnacentral:rRNA from 1 species
UACGUAGGGUCCAAGCGUUGUCCGGAUUUAUUGGGCGUAAAGAGCUCGUAGGCGGUUCCGUAAGUCGGAUGUGAAAACUCGGGGCUCAACCCCGAGACGCCAUCCGAUACUGCGGUGACUUGAGUCUGGUAGGGGAACACGGAAUUCCUGGUGUAGCGGUGAAAUGCGCAGAUAUCAGGAGGAACACCAAUUGCGAAGGCAGCUCGCUGGGACGUUACUGACGCUGAGGUGCGAAAGCGUGGGGAGCAAACAGG